rnacentral:lncRNA from 1 species
CUGACGGACCUGAACCCAAGAGGAGGAAAGUCCAUAAGCCACCGCCUCGCCGGUAAUGUUUUUAUACAGCAAUCUGGUUUUUCGUUUUGCUUUACUUUUCUUUUUUGUUACAGUAUAUGGUCAUCUGGUUUUAAUUAAGGGUGGGAGUUAUAAUUAAGUUUUCGAUAUUGUUUUGUUCGGGAAGGAUUGAAGCUUAAGCAUGCAUAAGGAAAGAUCAGAAUGUAAAACUCAAAGGUGUGGAGUGGCAGACUAGGGUUUGGCCAUGAAUAGGUAGAGUGAGGCAUUCAUUUGGCAGUUUAUGGUAAACUUAGUGUUUGGAUUAGGGAAUGCUAAGUUAUGUCUUAGUGAUGGAAAUUCAUUUAUGAUGUUGGAUUUAUAAUACAUUUUCUUUGAUUGUUCUGAAAUCCUUGAAACACUUCUUCUUCCCCCCAUUUUUAUGACAUGGGUAGGAUAGACCCAGAGAUUAAUGAGCACUUGAAAGUUUAAUUACACUUGGGAUCAAUGGUAGGGAGAUAACAUUGUUGGAAUUUCUUACCAAAUAGUGAAAAGAUUUGGCUCUAAACCCCUUGCCUCUUCAAUUUCAAACCUCUCCUCCGAUGCGCCGGAGCUCCUGUAAGAAGGAAAAGAAAACUGAAAUCCUUGCAAGUUUGUUUGCAUUAUGUUGUUUUAUUCUUCUUUUUCUAUGUUUGUAAGUUACUAUAAUUCAGAGAGACCAAACUAAAAAUAUUACAG